AUUGAACGCUGGCGGCAUGCCUUACACAUGCAAGUCGAACGGCAGCACGGGUGCUUGCACCUGGUGGCGAGUGGCGAACGGGUGAGUAAUACAUCGGAACAUGUCCUGUAGUGGGGGAUAGCCCGGCGAAAGCCGGAUUAAUACCGCAUACGAUCUACGGAUGAAAGCGGGGGACCUUCGGGCCUCGCGCUAUCGGGUUGGCCGAUGGCUGAUUAGCUAGUUGGUGGGGUAAAGGCCUACCAAGGCGACGGUCAGUAGCUGGUCUGAGAGGACGACCAGCCACACUGGGACUGAGACACGGCCCAGACUCCUACGGGAGGCAGCAGUGGGGAAUUUUGGACAAUGGGCGAAAGCCUGAUCCAGCAAUGCCGCGUGUGUGAAGAAGGCCUUCGGGUUGUAAAGCACUUUUGUCCGGAAAGAAAUCCUUGGCCCUAAUACGGUCGGGGGAUGACGGUACCGGAAGAAUAAGCACCGGCUAACUACGUG
rnacentral:rRNA from 1 species